rnacentral:tRNA from 1 species
GCGCGAUUAGCUCAGCUGGUAGAGCGCCCGCAUGACAUGCGGUAGGUCACAGGUUCGAGCCCUGUAUUGCGCA